CACCAGUCCUGUGUCUUUUUGUUAACGCAGUUCUGUAUUCAGUGACGUGAGAGGAAAAUGUGGAGCCAGUUCAAAUUAGGGGGGGGAAGUCUCAAUGAGGCCUGUUGUGUAAGAAAAGAGGCCGUGAGGGACAUGUUCGAGUAGGAAUCCCUGGUUCUGUACUGGAGGUUGCCAAAAAUAAAACACAACCGCCCUCAAAGACCAGUGUUUUUCUUUUCUUCUAUUGUUUAGCCAGAGUGUAAAACCACUUGAGCAGAAGCAUUAGUGAGGCAUUUUAUGAGACCACAAUCUCCCAUUCCAAAAAAAUAAAUUACCACCAGGAGAGGAACUGUGAGUACCUCUUUUAUGUAUCGG
rnacentral:lncRNA from 1 species